rnacentral:tRNA from 1 species
GCCUUUGUGGUGUAGUGGUCAGCACACUUGGCGCAUAUUCAAGAUGUCCGUGGUUCGAGUCCCGGCGAGGGCA